rnacentral:rRNA from 1 species
CCUACGGGUGGCAGCAGUGGGGAAUAUUGGGCAAUGGGCGAAAGCCUGACCCAGCACCGCCGCGUGAAGGAAGAAGGCUUUCGGGUUGUAAACUUCUUUUGACAGGGAAGAGCAGAAGACGGUACCUGUCGAAUAAGCCACGGCUAACUACGUGCCAGCAGCCGCGGUAAUACGUAGGUGGCAAGCGUUGUCCGGAUUUACUGGGUGUAAAGGGCGUGUAGCCUGGCUGACAAGUCAGAUGUGAAAUCCGGGGGCUCAACCCACGGAGUGCGUUGGAAACUGGUGGUCUUGAGUACCUGAGAGGCAGGCGGAAUUCCUGGUGUAGCGGUGAAAUGCGUAGAUAUUAGGAAGAACACCGGUGGCGAAGGCAGCCUGCUGGACGACAACUGACGGUGAGGCGCGAAAGCGUGGGGAGCAAACAGGAUUAGAUACCCUUGUAGUC